rnacentral:lncRNA from 1 species
CAAAGUUUACAAAGUUCUUUAUUUAAAUUUUAGAAAAUAUCUAAUUAGUUGAUUUUACUUUUUAUUUGUCAAAAAGUUUAUUUAAACCCUAUUCACCCCCCUCUAGGGUUGCCAUACCGAUCCAACAAAUGCCACAACAUACAAUCUUGUUCAGAAGUAGUGAAAUAGGAAGAUAAGAGGCUAGUCCUAGGAAUGCUACUAGAAGAGGUAUCGUCAUCAAGGAGGUAGAGUCCCCUGCUAUGCCGGGCAGUGCCAAUCAUCCUCCCCGAGCUCAAGUCCUGAAAAGAGACAGAAUCUGGUAAGAAUAUUGCUUUGCAGUUUAACUCAUGAGUGAUCUUGCUUAUCGAAAGCAAAUUAUAAGAUAGUUUGGGCACAUGCAAAACAUUAUGUAAGGAGAGCCCUGCACAAGGAGAAAUCUUCCCCUUUCCAGCAACGGGGGCCAAGGAGCCAUCUGCAAUUCUAAUUGUCUCGUUCCCAGCACAAGGAAUGUAAGAUACAAAAUGUUCAGAUGACCCAGUCAAAUGAUCUGUGGCACCAGAGUCCAGAAUCCAGGGGUUCUUCCCAUCAAUACUAACAAGACCGAAGGAAUGAGGUAUACCUGAUUGGACAAUGGCACCUAAAGUGGCAAGACUGAGAUCAGUUUGGUUUUUGUGUGGGUCGGAUUGUUGAGGAGGUUCAGCAGACUCACUCACAUACGCCCGCCCUGUGUUCUGUUUGUCAUUGGAAGGGCGUUUCUUACUUCCUGGGGGACGACCAUGUAACUUCCAAACAUUGUUCUUUGGUAUGCCAUUGUUUUUUGCAAUGCUCACAGACAGGAAUUGGUUUUCCCAUUAUGCUUGUCACUGCUACUGUUAGAAGAUCUUGCACUAAAAGCAGCAGAGUCAAUAGUAGGGGUUGCGGAAAUAUUCAUAGCACUUGUGCGAUCUUCCUCGAGGCGGAUUUUCAGAGCAAACUUCCAUCAGGGAGGGAAUCGGUCUUUGACCUAGUAUACGCCCUCGAACUACAUCAAACUUAGGAUUAAGACCAGCAAGAAAGUCAUAAAUCCUGUCAUUCUCUUCAAUUCUCGAGUACUGUACACCAUCAGUGGGAUCACGCCAGACUAGUUCUCUGCAUAGGUCCAUUUCUUGCCAUAUAAGAGAAAGCUUAUUGAAAAAGGAUGUGACAUCCAUGGUUCCUUGCUUGCAUUCAUGAACUUGCUUUCUCAGCGUGUAUAGACGAGAGGCAUUCUGACGUUUUGAGUAAAGUGUCUGGGCUGUGUCCCAAAUAUCCUUGGCUGUUGCAGCAAACAAUAACGGCUUGCCAAUUUGAGGUUCCAUACUAUUGAUCAAUAUGGAUCGAAGAAUAGAGUCUUCUGCCUUCCAAUAUCGUUCAUGUGGGUCGCCCGGUUGGGGGCGAGGUAUUUCCCCUGUCAGAAAGCUAAAUUUUUGUCGUCCUUCGAGGACCAUCUUUACUGACUGAGACCAUGAGAAAUAGUUGUUGCCAUUCAACUUUUCUCCUGAAAGAUGAUACAUGGAAGACUGAGCCACCGUAUUAGUCAAAUAAGGAGAGGAUACAUUAGAGAACGAGUUUACCGGAUUCUCAGAAUACAUCGGUAGAGUGGAUGUCGUCCCUAAGGUAGCCUCAAGUGCUGCUAUCUGUUGUCGAAGCCCUUCCAAUUGUUGAUGAACUAUUCCCGAGGAAGCUUGCACGUUACGGUUAGAAUAUGCCGAAGAUUCACCAACCUCAAAUGUUGAGUGAAUUUGAGAGUUUUUAACAUCGGGAUGGUAGCUAGGAUCAUUGGGUGGCUGGCCAUACAGAUUUGACGGCAGAAGCGGUGGUAGCCGAUUGGAAUUAGAUGGCAGAACAUAAAUCGGGGCGUGGGGAGCAAUAUAGGCCGCGGACGAAGGAAAGGGUUGGACAGAUGGGAUGGUCGGCGCCGUCUGAGGAAGAAAACCAGGCGCGUGGUGGUCCGGCGACGGCGCGUGGUGGUCCGCGCGACGGCGCGUGGUGGUACGGCGACGGCGCGUGGUGGUCCAGUGGCGGCGCGGACCGCUGCGGUAAUGACGAAAAAAUUAUUUUCGGACGUUUUCUGUAGCCGGCUUAAUAAUUCGUCCAUGGCAGCACUCAUCCGAGCAUCGAUGGCAGCAGCUACGGCAGCACUAAAAUUGAUGGCUGUCCCUUCUGUUUGAUUUUCAUAAGUGGUUUUGGUUUUUUUUGGGUUUCUAGGGUGUUUUCAUUGUCCCGCUCUGAUACCAUAUUGAAAAGAGAGACAACGAGUUCACACCAAUUUACGUGGAAACCCGAGUACCGGGAGAAAAACCACGAUUGUUUGUGUUGUUAUUAUUUUCUAAUGAAUAAAGCAAUAGGUACAAGGGAGAAUAAAUAGAGUACACAAUGGAAUAAAAAAGGAAAAGAUUUAGGAAAAUAAGGAAUACAUUCCCAUAAUCUUUCCAUAAUUAUUCUAGGAUUCUAACAAGGAAAAAGCCUAGAAAAAAGGAAAGAAUUCCAACACAUUAGUAUUUUCUUUAUACCAAUGUCAUGAGAUAGCUUCUACUCUGCAGCGAAAUCAACAAGCAUGUCUGUGUUGCUGGUCGUGAACCAGAGCUAGUGGAAUCACCAACUGAGCCUAAGUGGUCCUCUGAGGGUACUUGCUUAUGCCAUUCGAUUAAUGAACUGUUUCAUGUCCCAAUUUCUUACAACUAUUAGUUCAUCUGAUGGGAAUGUGCAGGAGAACUUUUUUUUGUUACUGAUAGGAAAAAUGGGUUCUGGAAUCUAUACAAAUGGGUACGUUUUCUUGUUCAGUUUUUGCUUCAAUGAUAUGCUGUCUUAACCACCAAUCUUAUCAAGAGGUCCCAAAAGAAAUAGUGUAUGUAAUCAUACGCAACAAAAUUGGGACAAUGUGGAACAACUGCUCAUAUUUCAGUUGGUUAUAUUGAGCUAAAUGAGUGCAUUAAUUAUAUCGAGUCAUGACUAUAGUGGUAACUCAGCCUUUAUUUUCCUUGUGUUGUUAUGGGUCUAGCUUGAGGCAGAUAAUGAGGUGUCUCCAAUUUACUCUUUGAAUGCGGAGUUUUCGCGACCAGUUUGGGUUUUUGGAAUAAACUCUUAUGGUUUCUUACCUGGCAAUGAAGGAGAAAACUAUAUACUAUGCAGUUAUAGGUAACCAAAACUUUGGUUUGUUGCACAUGUGUUAUCUUGUAUUUUUCUUGACUUUUUAUGUUUCAAUAUGCACAUACCAAAUAAUAAAAAUUUUCACCAACAUCAUGGUUUUUCCAUUUCAUUCAGGCAGCAUGGCAGGUCAUAUCUUGGAGUUCUGGGUGAUGGACAAAGCUCUCCAUCUCUGCUUGAUAUUCCCUUUUCAGAUAUUGAUAACAUUGUACUAUCACAAUCAUCUCUUCCUCCAUUCUCAUAAAAGUCUAUUUUGCAUGUGAGUGGUAUGUAAGAGGAGUAUCUUUUACCUUUGCAGACUAUUGGCAACCAUUGUUUUUAUGUGGAGGGAGCGUCGGCCUUUCAUCCACCAUCAAUUGCUAAGGUAAUGCUGUUGCUCUUUCAUUUUCCUUUUUUAACCUAUGAUUUUGUAUAUCGCGUCAAUGGUUCUUUCUGUGUGUAGGUUACUCUAAAAGAUAAAAGCUUGAAAGUAGAUGAGUUCGCUAUUAUCUGGUCGUCAUCGCCUGAUAUUUUGACAUAUAAGUCGUACUUCAGUACUCCAAAGUUAAUAGAAUUUGCAACAGAAGUGCCUGGUGAGAAGGCUUAUGCCUUCUUUUAUCCACCAUUCAGUCCCAUUUACCAUUCUAGUGGGGAUGAAAAGCCUCCAUUGUUGCUGGAAAGCCAUGGUAUGUACAAGGCAGCUUAAAUUUGACAAUGGUGGCUAAAUAGCGAUGUGACUUAGUUCCUGUUCUUUUAAUAAAAAAAAAAACAGAAUUUUUAGCAAUAGUUACAUUUCACACGGUAGGAACUAUCAUUUAAGAUGAUCAACUAAUGAUCAAAAGACUUUUGACGAGAAUUAUUCCUACAAUUCAAACACACUGGUCAUUGAUACUCAUGAACAUCUGUAUUUAUAUAUGAUUUUCUAGUAUUUUUCGAAAAUGUUAGUCAUUGAUUUCUUGGACAAAGACGGUCCAUGACGCUAAAAUCUCAAGGUGCUCACAUUUUAUUUAAAAUGGGUUUCAUCUUUGUUAAAUAAAUAUUUAGAUUCCUAACUAAAUUUAAAAAACUAAAACAAGUUUAGAAACUACAUUUUACAAAAAUAUAUUUCAAAAGUGUGCCUUAUUUUUUAAAAUUUGGCUAAAUUCAAACUUAUCUUUAGGAAAUGUGAAAACAAUACUAAAGAAUCAGUUAGGAAAAGUUUAAAUUUUGAAAUAGAACUCUAAAAAUGAACUUGUCAUUAAACAAAGGCAUAAGUAGCUUCCCUAUACUUUGGUUGCCAGCACCGUUAAAUUCUCAUAUUUAUUGCUUUCUCCUUGUUUAUAUAGUUUAUGUUUGAGUUAUGACAGGAGGCCCAACGGAUGAAGCGCGUGGAAUAUUAAAUCUAAGAAUUCAGUAUUGGACUAGUCGAGGAUGGGCUUUUGUCAAUGUUAACUAUGGAGGAAGCUCUGGUAUGUAUACUUGUGCAUUAUUAUUUUGCAGAAGUUUUCGGAGUUUUAAUAUAAUAGUACAAUUUUCCCAUUGGAAUGUCUUAAUUAUGGUUCUCUAAUGUCAAAUUUCAGCUUUUGACAUACUAACAAUAUAUGCAUGAUAUGAAUAGAUUUUGGAUUUUUAGCCUAGUUAAAGUUUUCAUUUAGAUAUUCUUGAAGCGAUUGUGCAUUGGUUCACUCUAAAUUAUAUUGGUGUAAGUGGUGGAUGAUACUUAUGCAAAUUCUUCUUAUUUUCAUUUCCUCUGCAUGAACCGCCAAUUGUGGUGCUAUUUAACUAAUGUGCCUAUCCUAAUAACUAUUGUGGUUUGUUUUGUUUAUUGAAGAAAAAAGGUGCAUUUUUGUGUUAGUAUAUUGUAUCAAGAAGUUUUUCUUUUCUGAAGGUUACGGGAGGGCCUAUCGAGAAAGGCUUUUGAGGAAGUGGGGAAUUGUUGAUAUCAAUGACUGUUGCAGCUGUGCAAGAUAUUUGGUGGAUCUCUUUUGACAUCUAUUUUCCUUCAAAACUUGAAAGUUGUGCUCAAUUCUUAAUAACAUGUUUGAAACAUUAUACUUAAUACUUAUUUGUGUAGGUCGAUUCAGGAUUAGUUGAUGCAGAACGAUUAUGCAUCGAUGGGGAAUCUGCUGGGGGAUACACUACACUAGCUGCUCUUGCUUUCAGAGAUACAUUUAAGGCAGGAGCUUCCUUGUAUGGUGUAAGUGACCAAUCAUAUAGUUGAUUCUAAAGUAUAAUUAUAAUAAUUUGUAUCAAAGCAUGGUUCUUAAAUGAUGUCUUGAUUGUGUCACUGAUGGUGUAUCUCUUUGCAAAGGGACUUUAUUCUUUUUUUAUUGUGUAAUACCUUUUGUUUUAAAGUGCUGUGUUUUAAGAAUUGCACAUUUCGUCAGCUACCGAUACGUUAGGGAAGAGAUGGAAUCCAUAUCAGAUAUGUAUCUGAUACGGAUUCAUCUAGAUACACCUUGGAUUUGUGUCUGAUAUGUGAUUCUGAGCAACACUUUUAUUUAAUUUAAUCUUGUGAAAAGAUAUGUUGAGAGAUAUAGUUUUAUAUUUUAAAAGUUUAAAUAAAAGAAAAAAAAAACUAUAAGUAAAUCAAAAGCUUAAUAAAGAAAAAAGAAACAAAACAAAAAUUAAGUACCAUGUCUAUCGUUGCCGACGUGUUAGUUGGAGACGAAGAUGAUGCUUGCGAUUAGAGGACCUUGAAAAAAAAGGGAAAUUGGGAAGACGAAGGGUUCAAUAAGAGAAUACAAAAACAAAGAAGAUUAAAUGAAAAGUGAAAAGAC